UGGAAUCCUCUUAUAGUCUACAAUUCUUAAUUACCUUCAUUGUCAUUCUCAUAUCCAUCAACCCCUCAUCACACCAAUCUCUACCACCACUAAACCCAAGACUCACCAAAGCCUACAUAGCACUCCAAGCAUGGAAACAAACAUUCACCUCAGACCCAAAAAACACCACCUUAAACUGGUAUGGCCCAAAUGUAUGCAACUACACAGGUAUCUUUUGUGCACCGUCACUAGAUGAUCCUUACAUCAAUACCGUUGCUGGUAUAGACAUAAACCAUGCAAACAUAGCAGGUUCAUUACCAGAAGAACUUGGUCUUUUAACAGACAUAGCUCUUUUCCACAUAAACUCAAACCGUUUCUAUGGUUCACUCCCCAAUAGUUUCAACCACCUUCACCUUCUCCAUGAGCUAGACAUCAGUAACAACCAAUUCUCAGGAACAUUCCCGNCACCGCCUCCACCUCCACCUCCACCACCGCCGCCUCCACCUCCACCUCCACCUCCUCCUCCGCCACCACCACCACCUCCACCUCCUCCUCCGCCACCACCACCGCCGCCGCCUCCACCACCACCACCAUCACCAUCACCGCCUCCACCUCCACCACCUCCUCCGCCACCAUCUCCUUGUCCGCCACCACCUUCACCACCUCCUCCUCCGGCAACUUACUACCAUUAUCUCUGAUGAGACAAGAGCUUGGAAUUUUUUAUUCUUCUUUUCUUCCAAAUUGGUAUACGUAAGAGAAUUAGAGGUAGUGUUUAAUUGGUCAUAUAUGUAAAAAUAAAUUAUAAGAAUUUAGCUAUUUCCAUUUUAACCGUUUGGAUUGAAGGUUGGUCAGGCAACUUUGUUUUGAAUUUGAGAACAAAUAUUAUGGUUGUUAAUUCUUGAGUGUGUCAUUGCACACAUAGUUAUAUAUACAUAAACAUAUACUCAAUUACUCAUAGUUGAAUUCAAUAUAACUCAGCUUGUGAAUGUGCAGAAUCGGGUUUUCGCCAUUGUCUCUAAAAACUCCAAGUCUAAACCAAGUUUUAGGUGAAAUUGACAAAAUUGUUGCUUCAUAAACAAAAUCGUCACUUGUCGGGUCAAUGACGGUGAUUCAUUUUUUUUGUUGUAUCAUGAAUGAAUGUCGGGUUUGUUAAGUCGUUAUCAUUGAUAAUUACCAAAAUAAUUAUUUUUAUAGCUAAGUUUACCAAUUCAAAUGCCACAUUUUGAAUUGAAACUCGUCAAAUAUUUUAUAAAAUAAUUCAGCAAGGCUAACUGCUAAAUAUAUAAUACCAACACCAACUUACUUUAACUUUUUUCUCACUUACGUUAAACUGAAGAUAUUUGAUAGAAAUGUAAAAACAUCUUAUUUGAUGUUUUCUUGAAGCUGCACAAAAAUAAAUAAAGGAAGACAAAACUGAUUUCCUAAAAUAUAAUUUUGAAUUACUACUUUGAAUUAUACAUAAAGGAAAACAAAACUGUAAAAACAUCUUUGAAUUACUUAUGACUUAUACAAUUUUGUUAUACCAGUGUCAUAAUUUUAUUUUCAUAGGACCCUAUAUCAAAAUUCGAGUAAAAUUACAGAAUUUGAAUACUAAAUAAAGCGGGCAGAGGUGGUGGCGUUUGCUUGGAAGGCACUUCUUAAUCGGAUAGCAACAAAAUAUAACCUUGUGUUAAGGAAUGUCCUUCCAAUGGAGUCUUCAAAUUUGUAAAAAAAUUAUUAUGAUUUUUAUAAACAAUUAAAUGAUGUUUUUUCUUAUGAAAUGUUGUUCUAUAAAAUAUAAAUAUUGACAAAUAGCUAUUUACUACAUAAAAAAUGAUCGUUCAUUUAUAAAAUUAAGAAGCAGGAGUACCGGUACACCUCAUUUUGCGAGUGUACCGUAGAAGUUCCCAUUUUAAAAUUAUUAUUUUUUAAGUAGCGAGGGCCAGACCCACAUCAUGUCAAACGUGGGUCCGUCCCUGCUCUCCAAUCACAUGAGAGUUCAGAGAGAAGAUAAUUAAUGGUGUAAAUUAUGUCACUGCAGAGGAUUGGAGAGAUUUCCACCGAAGGAAAUCCACAUGCACGAAAUCCAUGAAGGAUACCACUUAAAAAUGUGAAUAUUUAUUCGUUAGUAUAAAUUACCUACUAUUCUUUUAUAGGUAACCUAGAUGUCACACCAUUUAAACGUCUAACCAAACCAAUUACAUUAUUAUUUUAUAAGAGUAACGUCAAUUUGCAGCACAACAAACACUAACUUCCAAUAUUUCUCCAACAUACACACAUUUAUAUAAAUUCACAUUCCCAUAACACAAAAUCAAACCCAUCCAUUAUCGGUAAUGGAAUCCUCUUAUAGUCCAAAACUCUUAAUUUCCUUCAUUGUCAUUCUCAUAUCCAUCAACCCCUCAUCACACCAAUCUCUACCACCACUAAAUCCAAGACUCACCAAAGCCUACAUAGCACUCCAAGCAUGGAAACAAACAUUCACCUCAGACCCAAAAAACACCACUUUAAACUGGUAUGGCCCAAAUGUAUGCAACUACACAGGUAUCAUUUGUGCACCGUCACUAGAUGAUCCUUACAUCAAUACCGUUGCUGGUAUAGACAUAAACCAUGCAAACAUAGCAGGUUCAUUACCAGAAGAACUUGGUCUUUUAACAGACAUAGCUCUUUUCCACAUAAACUCAAACCGUUUCUAUGGUUCACUCCCCAAUAGUUUCAACCACCUUCAC
rnacentral:lncRNA from 1 species